UACGGAGGGGGCUAGCGUUGUUCGGAAUUACUGGGCGUAAAGCGUGCGCAGGCGGUUAUGUAAGACAGUUGUGAAAUCCCCGGGCUCAACCUGGGAACUGCAUUUGUGACUGCAUGGCUGGAGUGCGGCAGAGGGGGAUGGAAUUCCGCGUGUAGCAGUGAAAUGCGUAGAUAUGCGGAGGAACACCGAUGGCGAAGGCAAUUCCCUGGGCCUGCACUGACGCUCAUGCACGAAAGCGUGGGGAGCAAACAGG
rnacentral:rRNA from 1 species